UCACUCCUCCACCUUUACCUGCCUAUACCUGUUUAUCCUCUUCUUCCGGGCGUGGCUGCAUCAUAAAUUCACCCUCAGCGCUGUGUUUCUCUCAGAGGUGAGCUAUCAGAGACUACAGUGUUGAUCUUGUUAACUCUAAAAAAGUGCUGCAAAAUGAGUGACCCCAAGCCACCAGCUAAGCCUGAGGAAGGAAAGCCCCACGGAAAGCCUCAGGGAGAGGGAGGCCCCGGAGAUAAGGGUAAAGGAAAGGGACCCGGAGGCCAAGGAAAAUCUGCUGAAGCCCCGGGUCACGCGCACGGUCACGGACACGGUCACGCUCACGGAGACAAAGGAAAAAAGUGAAAAAAGUGAUGAGGAAGAUGAACGCCGAGGCCUGAUAGACACUGUGUUUUUUUCAUGCUUGAACGUCAAAUAAUGAAAUGAAAUGAAAGUGUAAUUAAAGUUUAAUUAACUAAA